AACGUGGGUCAUCUACCUUGAGGUGAGGAAUACCGGCGAGAAAUCGCCGACAAUACCGCAUAUCUUUCUUUCGAGAAAGAAAGCUGCUCGCAAGAGUGGCGCCCCAAGAUGAGCCUGCGCCCGAUUAGCUAGUUGGGGAGGUAAGAGCUUCCCAAGGCGACAAUCGGUAGCUGGUCUGAGAGGACGAUCAGCCACACUGGGAUUGAGAACGGCCCAG
rnacentral:rRNA from 1 species